ACACUCCAUGCUAUUCGUCUUAGACGACAUAGAAUACCACAUUUAUUGUUAAUUCCGCUUCUAACUACCACAAACUCACGUAACAUAUAUACCUAUAUACUUAAGUCCCAACUUUCCUUGCCAAAAUCAUUAGGUACUUACUAUAAAAGUUUUCUUGCUUACACCAUUCCCGUAUCUAAUAUAACAUCUCUUUCAAUCAAAGCGAAGACUACCCACUGACAUGAUAUAAUAAUAUCUUAACUCGGAAAAUGAUUAAAAUAGUGUGUAAUUUGAGAGCAGUGGUGGCCGAGUGGUAACUGCCCCAACUUACGAGUGGUAGGUCGCGGGUUCAAACCCGAUCUGGCGCAUAACUUUGUGUAAUUUAUUUCGUCACUACUGCUCUCAAAACGGUGAAGGAAAACAUCGUGAGGAAACCAGCAUGUCCUAGAACCAAAAAAUUCGAAGACGUGUGACAUCCACCAAUCCGCACUGGGCCCGCGGGGUGGAUUAUGGCCCAAGCCCUCUCCUAGAGAGGAGGCUGUGUCCCAGCAGUGGGAACAUUAGAAGGCUGAUGAUGAGUGUGUAAUUUUGAUAUUUUUAAUUUUCAGUUGUGAAUUAUGGGCAAAGUAUUGCUUCCCAAACGAAGCCUGGUCUUCACCAAAAUUCCAGGACGCACUCCAUAAACAACAUAAGAUGCUAUGCAGCAAACAUUUCAAAAGCACAUGCUUUAAUGAGAAGAAGUUGUUCAGAACAGCUGUACCUGAUGUUCAAUGCCAAAAGGAUACAACAACUUCUAAUGUGCCAGAUCAAUCUGCCAUAUUUGAACCUGUUGCCGGUCCAUCCAGAAUGAAUCCUUUAACAGAACAUAAUGUAAACAUUA